rnacentral:rRNA from 1 species
GACGAACGCUGGCGGCGUGCUUAACACAUGCAAGUCGAACGAAGUGGCGAACGGGUGAGUAAUACGUGAGUAACCUGCCCUCCUUUUUGGGAUAAGCCUUGGAAACGGGGUCUAAUACCGAAUAAAGGGGGAUGGGCUCGCGGCCUAUCAGCUUGUUGGUGGGGUGAUGGCCUACCAAGGCGGUGACGGGUAGCCGCCCUGUGAGGGUGAGCGGCCACAGUGGGAAUGAGAAACGUCCUAGAUGCCGACGGGAGGAAGCAGGGGGGGAUAUUGCUGAAUGGGUGAAAGCCUGAUGCAGCGACGCCGAGUGGGGGAGGAAGGCUUUCGGGUUGUAAACCUCUUUGGCUAUCGAAAGGGUAGGAGGAGAAGAAGCGCCGGCUAACCACGUGCCAGCAGCCGCGGUAAUC